rnacentral:rRNA from 1 species
GACGAACGCUGGCGGCGUGCUUAACACAUGCAAGUCGAACGGAAAGGCCCCUUUGGGGGUACUCGAGUGGCGAACGGGUGAGUAACACGUGAGUAACCUGCCCUUGACUUCGGGAUAACUUCAGGAAACUGGGGCUAAUACCGGAUAGGAAUCCUUGCUGCAUGGCGGGGGUUGGAAAGCUUCGGCGGUUUUGGAUGGACUCGCGGCUUAUCAGCUUGUUGGUGGGGUAGUGGCUUACCAAGGCGUUGACGGGUAGCCGGCCUGAGCGGGCGACCGGCCACAUUGGGACUGAGAUACGGCCCAGACUCCUACGGGAGGCAGCAGUGGGGAAUAUUGCACAAUGGGCGGAAGCCUGAUGCAGCAACGCCGCGGGCGGGAUGACGGCCUUCGGGUUGUAAACCGCUUUCAGCAGGGGCGAAGCUUGUGGUGACGGUACCUGCAGAAGAAGCACCGGCUAACUACGUG